rnacentral:misc_RNA from 1 species
ACGCAGAGGCACACGUCGCCGCGGCGGCGACGUCCCCUGCAGCAAACCCCGCCCGCAGCGCACCCGGCACGGCUCGCAGAGUUCGACCCCCACUCUUGUCCAUUGCACUCCCAUCCAUCGACGUCGACGCGAUGAGCCCGCUCAUGACGGCGCCGAGGGCAGAGGCGCAUGCUUCACUCCCGUCCUCGAGAGCAAGCCCCACCCCUCUCGAUGCCGAUCGUACCUCCAGUGCAGGAGACGCAGCCCACAGGAGGUCGUCCUGGGAGAAAAUGUUGAGCGCCGACGCGCCGCAGACUGUUCCUCUCGCCACUUCGUCAGCCAUAACGGCAUCGCCACGUUUCCCGGUACUUCACCUUGCUAUCCACGCCUGCGAGGACGAAGUGGCCCCUCUUCAAACCUUGUAUUCGCGCCUCUUCCGCGAAGCAGAGGAGCGCGCGCAGCGACAGCUCCGCGUGCGGGAGCAACGAAGGGCUGCCCAGAAGCCGCGCGAGAAGGAGAGAUGCACGCCCCGCCCCCACGUGCUGUCGUCCCGUUGUGAGCCGACCGCGGGCCAGCAUUCUGCCUCUCCGGACGCACCCGCUCCUUCCGCGAAUGGGCCUGCACAAAUGUCAUCGGGAGCAGCACAGAUGCGUGGUGCGCGCUCUCCUGCGCGGGCCAGCGCCCCUAUGGACGCUACAGUUACCAACAGCAAGGAGACCGAGGCGGGCCACACAGGGGAGGAUGCGGCAUGCGAGAGGCUCUACCGAAACGCCACCAAACAGGCGGAGCGGCGGGAGCGGCGGCUGCAGGCGUUGCGAGAGGCGCAAGAGGCGGAUUUUCAAGCUAACUGCACCUUCCACCCAUCGUUAUCCCAAGUGGAAGAGGGCCAUCGCGAGCGCAAGCCCACCCGCCGAGCGCGUUCGCACAGCUCCGGGGCGGGAGGCAUGGCGCGUGCCCGCGGCGCCGAGGCGAACCUGGGCGACGGCAGAGGUGCUUUGCCUCACCGCGCGAUGAGCUCAUCGGCAGCUCAGCGGACGCCGUCGCGCUCGUCGAGGCAGUUUUCGGCCACACAGGAGGAGCUGCGAGCAGCCCACCCACGCCGUCUCGCGGAACUUUGGUGGAGAACCGAGGAGGAGACCAGGUCGAGCUUGCACACCGGCGUCCCUCGCUCCAAGGCAAGUGAGCCCCCGUGCACGUACCUGGAGAAGGCGAAGAGCUGCAGGGGCCUCAUCGGCGCGGGGUCGGAGCACUUCGCGCACUAUGUCAAAGGCAGGCAGACCCGUUCAACAUCAACGGUGGGCCCUCAGCAUUGCCGAGGUGCACUCGCCGUAUCGACGCCGCGGCUCGACAGCGCUUCGCUGCCUGACAGGCCACCUCAGUCGGAGAGCGAACCCAGCAGUGCACCGUCGGGGACCUUCGGUACACCGCAGCAACAUACUCCCGCCCGCAGCAGGGUGCGCGAGAAGACGACGAAGACGAGCGACGACGGUCGUGCUGCAGUAGCUCCGCCGCAGGUGUUCGGCCGCCUCUUCCGCGACAGCGAUGAGCGCGCGGCGGUUCGGGCAUUCAUUGAGCUGAUGAGGGAAAAGUGGAUGCACACAGAGCUGUACAAGCCAAAGGCACCUAGUAACGGCGCGUCUGCGGCGGCGCGAACUCAUCGUGAUGGGCAGCAGCGCUCCUCGGCGAGACAGCGACCACCGAGUGCGCAGUGCAACAAGGACACAACAGCAGCGAUUGCCCUUGCAGCCGGCGGUGCGGCAGCUCGUGAGAGCCCACCACGCCACGCAGACACCAAUCGGCCCUUCGCCGUUGGCUACACCGUCUUUGACGCCCUUUACGCAGAGCGGGAGGAGCUACAGUGGCGGCGCGAGAUUCGCCAUUUGCAGGUGGAGGGCGAUGCGGAGACGUGCACCUUUCACCCCUUCGUUGAUGCACGGAGCCGCGUGCUUGCAGAGGAGCGUUCCCGGCGACUUUCAGAGGGCAACGGCCUAGCAGCCGAGACGGUGCGAGAGCGGCGUACCCGAACUGCGGCGGGCGCAGAGGCGAAGGAGGCGACCUGCUGUGCACAAAUGCACUUCAGCGACCCCGCCUUUUCUCAGCCGCAGACGGAGCGGAAUCGUCGACGACAGGAGGAGCUGCUGACGGCGCUGCCGCACAAGUGCAGCGGCGUCGUCGCUGAGUGCUGCUUCCGCCCUGCUAGGUCGCAGGCGACGCGGUCGAUGACGGAGGGGAAGCGCAGCCACCUGCAGAUCAUUGAUGAUCACAAACUUGCGCAGCAGCUGAUUGGUGCUCGUAUGAGUUGCCCAGGUAAUAACUCGGUGACUGCCGCUGCCGCUGCCACGACCCCUCUGUCCCCGUCGGCCAAGCGGACGCCUCGUGCUAGAGGGAUGUGGGUCCCCACCGGCGCCACAACAUGGGAUGCGCCACCCACUUCCGUAAAGGACUUGGCGCAGUCGACCAUCGACCGUGCCGAAGGAUAUGAGGUUCUCCGCUCGGUGUCACCGCCAUCACCGCAGUGGCACGCAGGCCUCUGCGCGUGCAUCGGACUCGAGCUCGCAGUGCGGGCAGCGGGCUCGCCUGUGAAGCAGCAUCGCUCACAGUGCAGCAUACCUCACGGCGGCGCCUGUGUUUACUCAUCCCGUGAUGCCAACGGGAUGCCCGGCGCGGCUGCUGGGUCAGGCACGGCGGGCAUGCAUCGGUUUAAAGCCGCUCUCGAGGACAACGCAGGCACCGUGCACAUUGCAACCGCUGCUUCCUCGACGUACCUGCGGCAUUUGGAGUCGGAGCUACAGACUGCGCUAGAGGACUGUUCGAAGUGUGUUUGAGCGUGCGGCAAUGGAGUGAGUCAGGCGUGUUUCACGAAAAGAGCGUGUGCACGUGUGAAACUAUGGCGCUCGGUGGCGCUUGGCGACUGUCCUCAGCCAUCACUGCACUUAUGAGAGGAGCGCGGGAGAAGGGGACGGGGCUGGGAGGGGGGAGGGUGAAGUGCACGGAACCCGCACAGCGAAUAAAAUGCAAGGGGAGGCGCAGUGGCUCUGCCACACACGUGCCACGCACACACACGCGUACGUGUACGCGGGUUCUGCUCUGCCAUCCCUCAACUUGCGUCUCUUCCUCUGUUUUCGAUUCCGGCUGAUUGCAUCCCUGUUCUCUUAUCUGUCCUGCUUCCUCCUUUGCAUCGUGCGGCGCUCUGCACCAUGCUGGCGCCGUGUGUGUGUGUGUCUUGGGUGUGUAUGUUUGCGCGACACCCACAACGUAACAUAAUCGGCAUAAG